rnacentral:rRNA from 1 species
UACGUAGGGGGCAAGCGUUGUCCGGAUUUAUUGGGCGUAAAGAGCGUGUAGGCGGUUUGGUAGGUCCGCUGUGAAAACUUGAGGCUCAACCUCAAGCUGUCGGUGGAAACCCCUUGGCUAGAGUCCGGAAGAGGAGAGUGGAAUUCCUGGUGUAGCGGUGAAAUGCGCAGAUAUCAGGAAGAACACCAAUGGCGAAGGCAGCUCUCUGGGACGGUACUGACACUGAGACGCGAAAGCGUGGGGAGCGAACAGG